UAGGGUGCAAGCGUUGUCCGGAAUUAUUGGGCGUAAAGAGCUCGUAGGCGGUUUGUCGCGUCUGCUGUGAAAUUUCGAGGCUCAACCUCGAACUUGCAGUGGGUACGGGCAGGCUAGAGUGCAGUAGGGGAGAUGGGAAUUCCUGGUGUAGCGGUGGAAUGCGCAGAUAUCAGGAGGAACACCAAUGGCGAAGGCACAUCUCUGGGCUGUAACUGACGCUGAGGAGCGAAAGCGUGGGGAGCGAACAGGAUUAGAUACCCUGGUAGUCCACGCCGUAAACGGUGGGUGCUAGCUGUGGGCCACAUUCCACGUGGUCCGUGACGAAGUUAACACAUUAAGCACCCCGCCUGGGGAGUACGGUCGCAAGGCUAAAACUCAAAGGAAUUGACGGGGGCCCGCACAAGCGGCGGAGCAUGCGGAUUAAUUCGACGCAACGCGAAGAACCUUACCAAGGCUUGACAUAUACAGGAAAAGCGUAGAAAUACGCUCCCCGCAAGGUCUGUAUACAGGUGGUGCAUGGUUGUCGUCAGCUCGUGUCGCGAGAUGUUGGGUUAAGUCCCGCAACGAGCGCAACCCUCGUCCUAUGUUGCCAGCACGUAAUGGUGGGAACUCAUGGGAUACUGCCGGGGUCAACUCGGAGGAAGGUGGGGAUGACGUCAAAUCAUCAUGCCCCUUAUGUCUUGGGCUUCACGCAUGCUACAAUGGCCGGUACAGAGGGCUGCAAUACCGUAAGGUGGAGCGAAUCCCAAAAAGCCGGUCUCAGUUCGGAUUGAGGUCUGCAACUCGACCUCAUGAAGUCGGAGUCGCUAGUAAUCGUAGAUCAGCAACGCUACGGUGAAUACGUUCCCGGGCCUUGUACACACCGCCCGUCAAGUCACGAAAGUCGAUAACACCCGAAGCCGGAGGCCUAACCGCAAGGAGGGAGCCGUCGAAGGUGGGAUUGGUAAUUGGGACUAAGUCGUAACAAGGUAGCCGUACCGGAAGGUGCGGCUGGAUCACCUCCUUUCUAAGGAGCAUCUCGGAGAACUUCGGUUCUCCAAAAGAGAGCCACUUGCAGGCAUAUGUCCUGCAACUGGUCAGCUCAGGGUGGAACAUUACAUGGAAUUUUUGAACAAAUCCAACAAGCAGUACGCCCUUACGGGUCGGAAACUUGCUGGAGGAGUUCGUGAUUAGCACGCUGUUGGGUCCUUGGGGAUCGGAAACGAUAACCCAGGGGCCAUUUCGAGUUUCGACUCAUCAUGGUCAGGUUCGUAUUGAGUAAGGAAACUUACGAAUGCGGAACCGCCCGUACAUUGAGAACUACAUAGUGGACGCGAGCAUCUUUAGACUUGGAUUUAUUCCAGGUCUACGAUUUAUUGCGAAUUUAUUCGUGAUAGAUCAUCUUUGUGUGUCAAGUUUCAAAGAGCACACGGUGGAUGCCUUGGCAAUAGGAGCCGAUGAAGGACGUAGCAAUCUGCGAUAAGCCUCGGGGAGUUGAUAAGCAAACUUUGAUCCGAGGAUUU
rnacentral:sRNA from 1 species